rnacentral:rRNA from 1 species
CGGGCGACCGGCGCACGGGUGAGUAACGCGUAUGCAACUUACCUAUCGGAGGGGAGUAACCCGGCGAAAGUCGGACUAAUACCGCAUGAAGCAGGGGCCCCGCAUGGGGAUAUUUGCUAAAGAUUCAUCGCUGAUAGAUAGGCAUGCGUUCCAUUAGGCAGUUGGCGGGGUAACGGCCCACCAAACCGACGAUGGAUAGGGGUUCUGAGAGGAAGGUCCCCCACAUUGGUACUGAGACACGGACCAA